rnacentral:rRNA from 1 species
GGCGAUCAGAUACCGCCCUAGUUCUGACCGUAAACGAUGCCAACUAGCGAUCCGCCAGUCGACUCAUCGCUCUGGUGGGGAGCUUCCCGGAAACGAAAGUCUUCCGGUUCCGGGGGAAGUAUGGUUGCAAAGCUGAAACUUAAAGGAAUUGACGGAAGGGCACCACCAGGAGUGGAGCCUGCGGCUUAAUUUGACUCAACACGGGGAAACUCACCCGGCCCGGACACCGUAAGGAUUGACAGAUUGAUAGCUUUUUCAUGAUUCGGUGGAUGGUGGUGCAUGGCCGUUCUUAGUUCGUGGAGCGAUUUGUCUGGUUUAUUCCGAUAACGAGCGAGACUCUGGCCUACUAAAUAGUUGACGCAUUGCCACUGUGCGCACAACUUCUUAGAGGGAUUUUCGGUGUUUUCAACCGCACGAAAUUGAGCAAUAACAGGUCUGUGAUGCCCUUAGAUGUCCGGGGCUGCACGCGCGCUACACUGGCAAACGCAACGUGCCUGUCCUGCCCCGAAAGGAGCGGGUAAACCCCUGAAAUUUUGCCGUGAUUGGGAUCGGACAUUGCAACUAUUGUCCGUGAACGAGGAAUUCCUUGUAGGGGCGAGUCAUCAACUCGUCCCGAAUACGUCCCUGCCCUUGU